CGCAGCCGCGGUAAUUCCAGCUCCAAUAGCGUAUAUUAAAGUUGUUGCAGCUAAAAAGCUCGUAGUUGAAUUUCGGGAUCAGUACGCCGGUCGUGCCUUCGGUAUGCACUGGUGUCACUGGUUUCUCCCUUCUGAAGAACCAUCAUGCCAUUCAGUUGGUGUGGCGGGAUCAGGACUGUUACUUUAGAAAAAUUAGAG
rnacentral:rRNA from 1 species